rnacentral:misc_RNA from 1 species
CUCUCUCUCCCUCUCUCUCUCUCAAUUACCUGCGCUUUUGCCCAGUGCUAUUAUACCUUCCCUUCUUCUCUUGCUUAAAUCAAGGCCUACCUUCUUUUCUUCAUUUUCCAGAUGAGAUUGAUCACUGCUUGAUUUUUAGUUCAAAUGAUUUUAUUAUUUUCUGUCUUUUUACUUAUCUUGCAAACUUCCCAUUGAUUUCCCUUUUAGCCCCCUCAAUUUUGAAUAUAGAAUCAUACUAUUAAUUGCAAGAAUGGCUGCCCCGCCUAGUAGCCGCUUGCAGGGUAUGUUGCAGGCCGCGGUGCAAUCGGUUCAGUGGACUUACAGUCUCUUCUGGCAAUUUUGUCCCCAGCAAGGGAUCUUAGUGUGGGGAGAUGGGUAUUACAAUGGAGCUAUCAAGACUAGAAAGACAGUGCAACCAAUGGAGGUUAGUGCCGAGGAGGCUUCUUUGCAAAGGAGCCAGCAGCUUAGAGAGCUUUACGAGUCAUUGUCAGCAGGAGAGACGAACCAGCCAGCAAGGAGGCCUUGUGCAGCGUUGUCCCCGGAGGACUUAACGGAGUCUGAGUGGUUCUAUUUGAUGUGUGUGUCCUUCUCUUUUCCUCCUGGUGUGGGGUUACCGGGAAAGGCAUAUGCACGACGGCAGCAUGUGUGGCUCACCGGUGCAAAUGAGAUUGACAGCAAAACUUUUUCUAGGGCUAUUCUUGCCAAGGUAUAUACGCAUCAAGACUCUAAAAUCAUAUCUUAUUAGUUAUAGCGAAUAACAGCUUCAAUUUUCUAACUAUAUAUUUUCUCUCUUAUUUCUGAAUACCAACGUUGGCGAAAUGAUUAACGCAUUAGAGUGCCCGUAUACAGGUUAAUCUACUUAUACCUCGGCUUCCCCUUUAGUAGCUAGCUAGUUGCUUCCUUAACAAAUUUCUUUCUUCUCCGAUCUAUGCAUGGUUUGCCUAAUUUGGACAUAUAUAUAACAUUUUGCUUCUGUAACGGUGGCAGACUGUAGUAUGCAUCCCCCUUCUUGAUGGUGUCGUGGAGCUCGGAACAACUGAGAAGGUUCAAGAGGACCUUGGAUUUGUCCAACGAGUGAAGAGCAUCUUCACUGACCACCACCACCCUAUUUCCCUACCACCAAAACCAGCUCUCUCCGAACACUCAACUUCCAACACCGACACAUCUUCAGACCAACGUCCCCACUUCCAGUCUCCCAUACCCUCCAUAUAUGGUGCCACAGAUCCUCCCACCAAUGAUAACCAAGACGAUGACGAUGACGAUGACGAGGAGGAAGAAGACGAUGAUGAAGAAGAGGAAGAAAGGUCUGACUCAGAAGGAGAAACAGGUCGAAACACUCGUUCAGUCCCUACUCAGGCUGAAACAGUAACAGCAGAGCCAAGUGAACUGAUGCAAUUGGAGAUGUCGGAGGAUAUUCGGCUUGGCUCACCGGACGAUGGGUCUAAUAACAUGGAAUCAGAUUUCCAGUUGAUCAGCUCAGGGAAACUUACAGGGCAUCACCAGAGUCGAGCUGACUCGUUGAGAGCGGAGUCAGCUGGGAGGUGGGUGAUGGUGCAAGACCCUUUGUGUAGUAGUCUUGAGCCAGUAGCUGCAGCAGGACCACAUGCACUCAAAGAGAUGGCGCAAGAAGACACUCACUACUCCCAAACAGUCUCCGGCAUCCUCCGGGACCAGCGCAUCCGUUGGGCCGAGUCAUCCUCCCUCCCUUACCUCUCAUACUCCAACCAAUCAGCCUUCACUAAGUGCACAAACCGCUGCUCCGAUCACCUUCUCCACUUGCCCAUCGAAGGCCCUUCCCAGUGGUUUCUCAAGUACAUUCUCUUCAGCGUACCCUACCUCCACCAUAAGUACCUCGAAGAAAAUUCACCCAAGCCACGUGAUGGCGACGACGCUAAUCGCUUCCGCAAAGGCGGUGCCGCUCUGGAUGAGCUCAGUGCCAACCACGUGCUCGCCGAGCGCCGACGUCGAGAGAAGCUCAACGAGAGGUUUAUGAUACUAAGGUCGCUAGUGCCGUUUGUCACCAAAAUGGACAAGGCCUCGAUAUUGGGGGACACCAUCGAUUACGUGAAGCAGCUCCGUCAAAAGAUUCAGGAGUUGGAAGCGCGUAACCGGCAGAUGGAGAUUGAGCAACGGUCAAGAUUGGUAGACCCACCGCAGAGAACAUCUAGCUUGAAAGAGCAAAGGAGCGCAGUCCCCGUGAUGGAUCGGGCUAGGAUUGUUCCGGGUUACGGACCCACAUCAGAUAAGAAGAAGCUAAGGAUAGUGGACGGUAGCGGUGGGUGCACGAAGCCUAAGACGGUAGAGACAUCGCCGUUGGUGGAAGCGGAGACCAGUGUAGAGGUGUCGAUAAUAGAGUGCGAUGCAUUGCUAGAGAUACAAUGUGGGUACAGAGAAGGGCUGUUACUCGAUAUCAUGCAAAUGCUUCGGGAAAUUCGGAUAGAAAUCACAGCAGUUCAGUCUUCUUUGAAUAAUGGAGUGCUUAUGGCUGAACUAAGGGCUAAGGUAAAAGACAAUGUUGCUGGAAAGAAGGUAAGCAUUGUAGAGGUAAAGAGGGCAAUACGUCAGAUAAUUCCCCAUGACUGAUUUUUCUCUAUUUUGGGACUAGCUUAGAGUAAUUAAUAAUUUUACGUGCUGACUCUUAGUGAUGAUCAUAAUCUCACGUAGCCAAUGUACAAUUUUAGUAUCAUAUUAUUGUAGAGUUGAGGCCAAAUGGUCAUCUGUGAAAUGUAAUCUAUAUUGUAUAACAUGUAUCCAUGAAAAAUGCAAGAUUAUUUUUGCUGCUCAAAA